AGGGUUCGAUUCUGGCUCAGAACGAACGCUGGCGGCAUGGAUUAGGCAUGCAAGUCGAACGAAGCAGCAAUGCUUAGUGGCGCAAGGGUGAGGAACACGUGAGUGACCUACCCGCAAGUUUGGAACAGCUCCUGGAAACGGGAAUUAAUACCGGAUGUGAUCGAUGAACUGCAUGGUUUAUUGAUUAAAGCAGCAAUGCGCUUGCGGAUGGGCUCGCGUCCCAUUAGCUAGUUGGUGAGGUAACGGCCCACCAAGGCCAUGAUGGGUAGCUGGUCUGAGAGGACGACCAGCCACACUGGGACUGAGAACUGCCCAGACUCCUACGGGAGGCUGCAGUCGAGAAUUUUGGGCAAUGGACGAAAGUCUGACCCAGCAAUGCCGCGUGCGGGAUGAAGGUCUUCGGAUUGUAAACCGCUGUUUGGAGGGACGAAAAUUGACGGUACUUCCAGAGGAAGCCACGGCUAACUACGUGCCAGCCGCGGC
rnacentral:rRNA from 1 species